rnacentral:lncRNA from 1 species
ACACUUUUAUUUCCGUUAGGACUCUUCGUUCCUUCUUGUUCUUGUUCCCUCUUGUUCUUGUCCAAUCUCCUCGUUUGUUUAUAUUAUCCAACCCUCCAACGGACUAUAAGACCCUGUCAUGACUGUGUUUGCUCAGGAUUAGAUUUCUGAGUUGGGAUUGGACUAAAAGGCUUUAGCUUUUUCAGUUCAUUGGACUUUCUCGGACUAAAAGGCUUUAGCUUUUUCAGUUCAUUGGGAUUUUCUCGGACAUGGAGAGGAUUAAUUUUGUGAAGAAUGGUGUGCUGAGAUUGCCUCCCGGUUUUCGAUUCCACCCGACGGACGAGGAGCUUGUUCUACAGUACUUGCGGCGCAAGGUUUACUCCUGCCCCUUGCCUGCCUCCAUCAUCCCGGAGGUUGAUGUCUGUAAGGCCGACCCUUGGGAUUUGCCAGGUUGGUUUUUCACUUUUCCGUACAAUUCACUUCUUCCGUUUGAAGUGAUUGGUUUUUUUUUUUUCAAAUUUUGAUUUGGUUUGACCAAACUACAAUGCCAAAUGCCUACCAAUCAAAACCCAAAUCGUGUUUUAGACGGAAAUGGUAUCGAAUCUCCCAUUUUUCGGCUUCUGCACUCGUUCUGUGAGUGCGGAAAUCGUUAAGUAAUCAGUUUGGAGCGCAGAUGGCUUGAAAUGGAGCUCGAAAAUCGCUACUAUAAAGAAAUUAGAUGGAGAAUUGAAAGACUCAAUUGGUUUGUUUUGUUUUGGUUUAGGUGAUUGUGCGCAAGAGAGGUACUUCUUCAGCACUAGGGAGGCCAAGUACCCCAAUGGGAACCGAUCGAACAGAGCGACGAGCUCUGGUUACUGGAAGGCGACCGGAUUGGACAAGCAGAUUGUGACUUGCAGGGGCGGCCAAGUCGUGGGGAUGAAGAAAACUCUGGUUUUUUAUAGAGGAAAGCCUCCCCAUGGCACUAGGACCGAUUGGAUUAUGCACGAAUACCGCUUUGUUUUGCCCGAAAAUCCGGCCUCCAUUGCCCCACCGGAAAAGAAUGCAACCCAAGUGAGCUUCUUGUUCUAUUUAGUGUUACUUCAAUGAGAUUAGCAGUUUAUUUUCUCAUAAGAUCCCAGCGGAGGCUUAAAAGUCAUCCUUGGUCACAUCUUUUAUGAUUGAAGCUAGAACGGUAUCUGAUUAUCUUCGAGUCCCCAACUUAAACUCCCAAUUCUGAAGAACCCCAUUUGAGAUAUUUCUUCAAUUGUGCUCUCCAAACCACAAAGAACACAUUUUUAUUUUACUAUUUUGUUGUUGCAGAGCCCUGUGGUGCCAAUGGACGACUGGGUUCUUUGCCGCAUAUUUUUUAAGAAAAGGGGAGGCAAAAAUGAGGAGCAGCAAGUUCAACAGCCCUCCUGCGAUGUUCGAAAACCCAAGAACUCGAGGCCUGUUUUCUACGAUUUCAUGACGAAAGACAGGGCAAAUUUGAGCCUUGCACCUUGUUCUUCCUCCUCAGGGUCGAGUGGAAUCACAGAUGUGGUUUCUAGUGAGCAAGUAGACAAUGAUCACGAAGAAAGCAGUAGUUCCAAUAGUUUAGGUUUAAUUAGAAGAAAACAGUAGCAGUUUAAAUUAAUUAAUUUAAAAUCCGCUUAAAUUAGUUCGGUUAUGUUCCAGUAAUUGGGCUCGUUGCUCUGUCAGAAUAAACAUCUGAGAAAAAUCCAAGUUUAGGAAGAAAAUCGGCAAGUAACUUGUAGUCGGAAAUUUGGAGAGUAAUGGAUGGUUUUUAUAAUUUAUGUAAUCA